rnacentral:rRNA from 1 species
GACGAACGCUGGCGGCGUGCUUAACACAUGCAAGUCGAACGGUGAAGCGCCUUCCUUUUUGGUGGGUGUGGAUGAGUGGCGAACGGGUGAGUAACACGUGAGUAACCUGCCCCCUUCUUCUGGAUAACCGCAUGAAAGUGUGGCUAAUACGGGAUAUUCUGGGUCUGUCGCAUGAUGGGUCUGGGAAAGAUAUUGUUUCGGUGGGGGAUGGGCUCGCGGCCUAUCAGCUUGUUGGUGGGGUGAUGGCCUACCAAGGCGGUGACGGGUAGCCGGCCUGAGAGGGUGGACGGUCACACUGGGACUGAGACACGGCCCAGACUCCACGGGAGGCAGCAGUGGGGAAUAUUGCACAAUGGGCGCAAGCCUGAUGCAGCGACGCCGCGUGAGGGAUGGAGGCCUUCGGGUUGUGAACCUCUUUCGCCAGUGAAGUAGGCCUGCCUCGUUUGUGGGUGGGUUGACGGUAGCUGGAUAAGAAGCGCCGGCUAACUACGUG